rnacentral:rRNA from 1 species
UACGGAGGAUCCAAGCGUUAUCCGGAUUUAUUGGGUUUAAAGGGUGCGUAGGUGGUUUGUUAAGUCUGCUGUGAAAUCCCCGGGCUCAACCUGGGAAUGGCAGUGGAUACUGGCAAGCUAGAGUGCGGUAGAGGGUAGUGGAAUUCCCGGUGUAGCAGUGAAAUGCGUAGAGAUCGGGAGGAACACCAGUGGCGAAGGCGGCUACCUGGACCAGCACUGACACUGAAGCACGAAAGCGUGGGGAGCAAACAGG